rnacentral:lncRNA from 1 species
CCUGGUGUGUGGACUACAUCGGGAACCUACAUUAUGAAGGAAUUUUCCCACAAAUGCAUAUACAUGGUAAGUAAUUUGGAAUGUACCGAGUAUAUGGGACAUUUAAUAUAAUCAUGGAAAUACUUAAUAUAUGUUUCAAAAUUGAAGACAUAAGCUAUUUUCUGAAAUAUUCAUUUAAAACGUGGUUGUACGUAUAAGCUGUAAGACAUAAUGAAAUUUCUAAA